GUGGACCUACGGGGGGCAGCAGUGAGGAAUAUUGGUCAAUGGGCGCGAGCCUGAACCAGCCAAGUCGCGUGAGGGAAGACGGUCCUAUGGAUUGUAAACCUCUUUUGUCGGGGAGCAAAAGACGCCACGCGUGGCGUUCCGAGAGUACCCGAAGAAAAAGCAUCGGCUAACUCCGUGCCAGCAGCCGCGGUAAUACGGAGGAUGCGAGCGUUAUCCGGAUUUAUUGGGUUUAAAGGGUGCGUAGGCGGAUUUUUAAGUCAGCGGUAAAAUGUCCGGGCUCAACCCGGGCCGGCCGUUGAAACUGG
rnacentral:rRNA from 1 species